rnacentral:snRNA from 1 species
GGAAGCGUGUGCUAGCAAUGGCGCAACUGAACAUUGAUCGCUGACGGUAUUAUUAUAUAGGUAUGGCAGAUCUGCUCAGGGGUGCAGCGAAAGCUUGGAUUUACGGCUCCCGAUGCGCUCUGCGGGAUAGAUCGAAAUUUCGGUCUAGCCCAACGUGGAGCCCGCACGGUUGAGUCUAUAUACGUCGCUCCUCAAACUACCGCGAUUUUCUUAAUUGGUGGGGGGCGAUAUUUAAAUAUAACUCAUAAACGAGGUAAUUCUUCGCUUCCAUAUACACGGCACUGCAGAUCGCAGUAUGCCCUGUUUUUUUU